rnacentral:rRNA from 1 species
CCUACGGGAGGCAGCAGUGAGGAAUAUUGGACAAUGGGCGGAAGCCUGAUCCAGCCAUGCCGCGUGCAGGAAGACUGCCCUAUGGGUUGUAAACUGCUUUUAUACAGGAAGAAACCCCGGUACGUGUACUGGGCUGACGGUACUGUAAGAAUAAGCAUCGGCUAACUCCGUGCCAGCAGCCGCGGUAAUACGGAGGAUGCAAGCGUUAUCCGGAAUCAUUGGGUUUAAAGGGUCCGUAGGUUGAUUAAUAAGUCAGAGGUGAAAUCCUGCCGCUUAACGGUAGAACUGCCUUUGAUACUGUUAGUCUUGAGUUAUUAUGAAGUAGUUAGAAUAUGUAGUGUAGCGGUGAAAUGCAUAGAUAUUACAUAGAAUACCAAUUGCGAAGGCAGAUUACUAAUAAUACACUGACACUGAUGGACGAAAGCGUGGGGAGCGAACAGGAUUAGAUACCCUGGUAGUCCACGCCGUAAACGAUGGUCACUAGCUGUGUGGAUUUUAUCUGCGUGGCUAAGCGAAAGUGAUAAGUGACCCACCUGGGGAGUACGUUCGCAAGAAUGAAACUUAAAGGAAUUGACGG